rnacentral:rRNA from 1 species
GUCCCGCAACGAGCGCAACCCUCGUUUUUAGUUGCCAAUUUAUUGGGUUUUCUAGAGAGACUGCCGGUGACAAACCGGAGGAAGGUGAGGAUGACGUCAAGUCAGCAUGCCCCUUAUGUCCUGGGCCACACACGUGCUACAAUGGCGGAGACAAAGAGUCGCAAACCUGCGAAGGCUAGCUAAUCUCAUAAACUUCGUCUAAGUUCGGAUUGUAGGCUGCAACUCGCCUACAUGAAGUUGGAAUCGCUAGUAAUCGCUGGUCAGCUAUACAGCGGUGAAUUCGUUCCCGGGCCUUGUACACACCGCCCGUCACACCAUGGGAGCUGGUCAUACCCAAUACCGUUAGUCUAACCAUUCGGAGGACAGCGCUUAAGGUAGGGCUAGUGACUGGGGUGAAGUCGAAACAAGGUAGCCG